GGCUUGGUGGUGGAUGGUCCACACUUGCUUUCUGUACCGAAGGUGCCUCAGUGUAGCAGGAGGAGUCUGUUCGAUUCGGGCCCAAGCCA